rnacentral:rRNA from 1 species
UACGUAGGGAGCAAGCGUUGUCCGGAUUUACUGGGUGUAAAGGGUGCGUAGGCGGCCCUGCAAGUCAGAAGUGAAAUCCAUGGGCUUAACCCAUGAACUGCUUUUGGAACUGUAGGGCUUGAGUGAAGUAGAGGUAGGCGGAAUUCCCGGUGUAGCGGUGAAAUGCGUAGAGAUCGGGAGGAACACCAGUGGCGAAGGCGGCCUACUGGGCUUUAACUGACGCUGAAGCACGAAAGCGUGGGUAGCAAACAGG